UAGCUUUUGGAUUUUGUGAGUAUAAACAGCCUGAAUCUACCCUCGGUGCUGUCAGAUUAUUGCAUGACCUUCAGAUUGGAGAGAUGAAGCUAUGUCACAUCUGCCACGCAGCCUGUGUCCGAGAAUGUGCGGAGGGUGUCGGGGAUUGACAACACAGAGACUCGUUCAAUGAUCUGCCUACUCCCAGGCCGAAGGGGAAGUGGGUCUCUGCUCAAGGUCUGGUGUCCCCACAAAGCUACUUGUCAAAAUUGAUACAAAGACAUAGGCACAAUUGGAUGAGUGGAAAGCAAAGAAGAAGGCUUCUAAUGGGCCCUGUGUAAAUCAUCUUGUCUUAAUCUAAGAUGCCAAGUAGAAAAUUGGCUACAAGGAGAUUGGACGAAUAGGCAGGUUUGAGAAAGAUGCACUGUCCUAUCAAGAUUUGCAUAUCAACUUCACUCAAGAAGAGUGGGCUUUGCUGCAUCCUUCACAGAAGAACCUCCACAAUGAUGUGAUGCUGGAGACAUAUAUGAACCUCAAUGCUAGAGUUCUCUUCAAAUAUGAGAAAAAUCUCAUGGAGAAAAAGGUGCCAUAGAUGUGAACAAGGAAAUAAAGGUUCUUAACAGGACAGGCAUCUUCAAACAUGGAAAACAAUCCUCACUAAAGGGCAUGAAAGACGUCCAGUGAGAAAGCAACCUUCUGCACAUAUUCAAUGUCAUAAAUUCUUGUUAUAUCUGCAUCCACGUGAAGAAAGAACACAGACUGGAGUGAAACUCCAUAAAUGUGAUCAAUGUGGUAAAGCCUACCUAUGCCACACUGAUCUUCAAAUGCAUAAAAGAACACAUAUUGUAAGGAAACCCUAUGAAGGUAAUCAGUUUGGUAAAGUCUUUGGUCAGCUCAGCCUUCUGCAGAUGCAUAGAAGAAAACAUACUGGAGCAAAGCACUAUGAAUGUAACCAGUGUGGUAAAGCCUUUGCUCGGCACAGUAAUCUUCAAGUACAUAAAAGGAAACACACUGGAGAGAAACCCUUUGAAUGUAAUCAGGGUGGGAAAGCCUUAGCUCAGCACAGUUCUCCUCAAGUGCAUAAAAGAACACAUACUAGACAGAAACCCUAUGAAUGUCUUCAGUGUGGAAAAGCAUUUGCUCAGAAUAGUCAUCUUCACAGACAUAAAGUAACAUAUACUGAACAGAAACCCUAUAAAUGUAAUC